CCUACGGGAGGCAGCAGUGGGGAAUUUUGGACAAUGGGCGAAAGCCCGAUCCAGCCAUGCCGCGUGCAGGAUGAAGGCCUUCGGGUUGUAAACUGCUUUUGUACGGAACGAAAAGCCUCUUUCUAAUAAAGAGGGGUCAUGACGGUACCGUAAGAAUAAGCACCGGCUAACUACGUGCCAGCAGCCGCGGUAAUACGUAGGGUGCGAGCGUUAAUCGGAAUUACUGGGCGUAAAGCGUGCGCAGGCGGUUAUAUAAGACAGUUGUGAAAUCCCCGGGCUCAACCUGGGAACUGCAUCUGUGACUGUAUAGCUAGAGUACGGUAGAGGGGGAUGGAAUUCCGCGUGUAGCAGUGAAAUGCGUAGAUAUGCGGAGGAACACCGAUGGCGAAGGCAAUCCCCCUGGACCUGUACUGACGCUCAUGCACGAAAGCGUGGGGAGCAAACAGGAUUGGAUACCCUGGUAGUCCACGCCCUAAACGAUGUCAACUGGUUGUUGGGAAUUCACUUUCUCAGUAACGAAGCUAACGCGUGAAGUUGACCGCCUGGGGAGUACGGCCGCAAGGUUGAACUCAAAGGAAUUGACGGCGNGAGAGNGCGACGACGACGACGAGGGAGGAGG
rnacentral:rRNA from 1 species